UAGGAUGUACUAUAAAUACGUAAUGAAAUUGUUAUUUUCAAACUGCAUAAGGAUGUAUAAGGAAGUGUUGAUACAGAUGUCUGUUUAAAGGCACAGCAGUGCUAAUGACCCAGUAUAAACAGUAAUUAGUUGAAAGAACUGGUUACAGAUAGACCCACCGCCAUGUGUGGCUGACACAACUUAAAGACGCCAGUCCCUUCUUGAAAAAACUAGAUGUGGAAAGGUCCUGGCAGUAUCAUUUAUUUAUUCAUUUUAAGGACAAAAGAGCUGUUAAUAACUUGGUUGAUGUUUGAUGGUCCACCGUUGGUUUCGGUCUUAUAGGAAUGUAUGUGUGUGUGAGUCACUCUGGGAUUGUUACAGCAAUCUCAUUCGUCCUUUCUUGAUAGAAAUUAUUCAUGCAUGAGAUUAACCGAAGGGAAUUCAGUUUAAUACCCACAGCUCCAGCACUCUCUGCUGAUGUCAAUAAAAUGUAUUUCAGGACAAACAAUGACUAUUGAUCCUCCACGAGAAACCAUAUGAUAGGCCAUUAACAGCUGGGUCUGGUUUUGAUGAAUACAAAUGGAGUGGUGAUUGGAUAGGAAUCAUGUGAGUGACCGUGGACAGGUUUUAAAUGUUGGUUUGAAAGGUCUUAAUUGUUGUUUCUGACAAGAGCUCCAAUUUUAUACAAAAUGUGGGGGGGGGAGAGCAAUCCCCCCCAGUCCUGCUAAUCUUCUCACUUCCUUUUUCUUUAUCUUUCCAGAUGUGUUGGUGAAUGGGAAGCCAUGUGACUGUGAUGUCAUUGCCGACUGUAAAGUGGGAGACGCUGUGAGCCUUGAGGUGCAACUGACCAACCUGAGCAAGAACCCAGUAGGCCCCCUGGCUCUGACUGUGGUGCCAUAUCAGGACUUCCAGAAUGGAGUCCAGAACUACGAUCUGGAGGAUGCGUCACGUUCAUCGGCUCCAACACUUUCUACAUAGAAACGGUAAAGCCCAAAGAAAACACCGUCUGUGUGGGGGCCCUGCUCUUCCUCUACACUGGAGAUUUCUACCUUAAUAUCAAGUUUCAGGACGACAGCGCUGGACGGGAGCUUCCUCUUGCCUGGUUCACUCUUCCCAGCGUCCACAUCCGAGCCCUGGACACUCCACUUCAGGCCGGGGCCUGAGAGCUUCCUGGCCCCCGUCACCUUAGCUCUAAUUGAAGGAUGGAGAGUUUUCUUGAUAAACCUCUCUGUAAAUACAAACGUGUAAUUAAGUAUUUGUUUAAAGCAUAAACUGUAUAUCAAGAUGGAAGAAGCAUCAGCCGCCAGGAAGUGAAGCCAAAAUAUUUAGAGCUCCCCCUGGUGAUUGGCUGCAGUAUAGGUCAUAAACCCCUCCUCCUCUAUGUCAUCAUGAAAUGUGAGUCGAACUAGAAGUUAAAAUACACGUCUGAUAUUUUCCUGUCAAUCCCAGAUUCAGUUUUGACAGCUAUUAUGCUGAUUUAAGUCCAAGUGGUUGUUUGGUUUUUCGGAGCAUUUUUUUUUUUUUACAUUACUUAUUUGAUGCAACAAAGAGCGGAUGUAACGUUACGAUCGACAGCUCGGUUGACAAAUGCCACUGCUUUCAGUGUUCUUAACCAGUUAAAGAGAGUAAAUAAGGAAAGGUGAGCCAAAAUGUAACGCAAUAGUUAUUGUCUGCUUCAAACCAACACAAGAAUUUGUUCAGCUGUGGACUGUACGGACCCCAGGGAACUUACCGGCAAGUUAAGUUUCCUUUGGUUAGCUGAAGGGGCGUGGCAUCAAUUCACCAGUUCCACCAGCCAGCUCCCUUCUGAGCAUGUCUUGGUUCCACCAGCUCAAUCAAUCAUUUAUCAGUGCUCGUCAUGGAGGUAUUUUGGCUUCUAUUUUGCAGUACUGAAGGAGACAGAGACAUACGUCCAUAUAAAUAUACGGUCAGUGUUUAAAAGUUAGAGCAUCUUUUUGGUUGAGUGAAAGAAGGACGUGAGAUCUUCCAUGAGGGACACUGAGGUGAUCUAUUAUAACUAAGCAGCGUGCAGCUUUAUAGAGACGGACAAAGCAAAAUGCGAACAUGUACAACAUUUAAAUGUACAGACAUUUAGAAAAUAAGGGACUGGAGGGAAAAUGACAUCACAAAACUAGAGUUUAUUAUAUCAGUCAGAGUUUGACUAGAGCACAGUCUGCCUGCUGUUUAGCUUGUUAUUCAGCUGUGUCAGUAUAGUUAGCUUUAAAGUGAUUUUAAACAGACUGCCCAGUAAACAAAUCUGUGAAAAUGGGCUUGUAAGUCAUUCAUCUUUUUAUGUUUAUAUAUUGACAAAAACUUCCUAUCAAUCACUGCAAUCAGGAGACACACCCACGGAGAAAGAAAAGAGCCUUGCAAUGUGCUUUUAUUUUAAUUUGAACACAUGAAUUUACACUAUUGAGUUACACUAUUGAACCUGCACUGAUAAUGCAAAUCUGGGAUCAUAGCACCAUUUAUUCAGUCGAUGAUUUCGUUACCUUGCAUUUAAAAUGAGAAAAUAUCAACUGCAAGAGAAUAACCAUCACAUAAUUACAGAGCCUUAAAAAGAGAGUAGCUGCAUACUAACACUGGAAAAUGAUGAUUAACCUGAGUUUAAAGCCAUUUAUUUACACGUAUAAUGUAUUUAUUUCUUCUGCUGUAUGGACAUUUUGUCUCCACACACUGAGUUAGUGAAUCUGGCUGUCUUAGAGAAGGUUCUUAUAUUGUGUGACAUUUAAUUGUUGUAAAUAAAUGGAAAGGAUGACA